GACGAACGCUGGCGGCGUGCCUAAUACAUGCAAGUCGAACGCAGUGGGGACGGGUGCGUAACACGUGGGUAACCUCCCAUCAGAGGGGAUAACACUUGGAAACAGGUGCUAAACCGAUACUGAUGGAUGGACCCGCGGGGCAUUAGCUAGUUGGUGAGGUAACGGCUCACCAAGGCCACGAGGCAUAGCCGGUCUGAGAGGGGGAUCGGCCACACUGGGACGGAGACACGGCCCAGACUCCUACGGGAGGCAGCAGUGGGGAAUCUUGGGCAAUGGACGAAAGCCUGACCGAGCCACGCCGCGUGAGUGAAGAAGGUUUUCGGGUCGUAAAGCACUGUUGUUAGAGAAGCGGUAUCUAAACAGAAAGCAACGGCUAACUACGUGCCAGCAGCCGCGGUAAUUC
rnacentral:rRNA from 1 species